rnacentral:SRP_RNA from 1 species
GGUCAGGACCCGCGCAACGAACCCCCGUAAACCCCGCCAGGACCGGAAGGUAGCAACGGCAGCGGAUGGUUCGUGUGCCGCGGGACCCCUGGCCGGA